UACGGAGGAUCCAAGCGUUAUCCGGAAUCAUUGGGUUUAAAGGGUCCGUAGGCGGGUUAUUAAGUCAGUGGUGAAAUCUUUCGGCUCAACCGGAAGCUUGCCUUUGAUACUGAUGGGCUUGAAUGUAGUUGAGGUGGGCGGAAUGUGACAAGUAGCGGUGAAAUGCAUAGAUAUGUCACAGAACACCGAUUGCGAAGGCAGCUCACUAAGCUAUGAUUGACGCUGAGGCUCGAAAGCGUGGGGAUCAAACAGG
rnacentral:rRNA from 1 species